rnacentral:rRNA from 1 species
GAUGAACGCUGGCGGCGUGCCUAAUACAUGCAAGUCGAGCGAACGGACGAGAAGCUUGCUUCUCUGAUGUUAGCGGCGGACGGGUGAGUAACACGUGGAUAACCUACCUAUAAGACUGGGAUAACUUCGGGAAACCGGAACUAAUACCGGAUGAUAUUUUGGACCGCAUGGUUCAAAAGUGAAAGACGGUCUUGCUGUCACUUAUAGAUGGAUCCGCGCUGCAUUAGCUAGUUGGUAAGGUAACGGCUUACCAAGGCAACGAUGCAUAGCCGACCUGAGAGGGUGAUCGGCCACACUGGAACUGAGACACGGUCCAGACUCCUACGGGAGGCAGCAGUAGGGAAUCUUCCGCAAUGGGCGAAAGCCUGACGGAGCAACGCCGCGUGAGUGAUGAAGGUCUUCGGAUCGUAAAACUCUGUUAUUAGGGAAGAACAUAUGUGUAAGUAACUGUGCACAUCUUGACGGUACCUAAUCAGAAAGCCACGGCUAACUACGUG